GGAUUUAACAGGGAGCCAAUGAAGGGAAGCUAAAAUAGGAGAAAUAUGAUCUCUCUUUUUAAUUUAGUCCCGUUGUUGUCAAGUAAAAACAUUAAAAUCGAUUGUCCAAAAGAUUAUUGAUUUCUGAUCCAACAAAUAACAUUUCCUAAAAUAUUAUUUCCCUGGGAUAAGGAUGGCAAAUUAAACAAAGUUAAGGAUCAAUUAUCCAAAAAGGCUGAUUUCUAAUUUAGCAAUAAUUCUUUAAAAUAUAAUUUUAUUAAAAUAAUGUUUUAUCUACUCUGAUUUUCCAUUGUGACUGGUUGUUGGAAGACAUACCAAUUAAUUUGCUUAAUUAGUUCUAAAACUAAUUUGACUUCAUUUCCAAGUCCUUAAGGUUAACCUUGGUUCGUAAAUAUAGUUCCACAUUGAACUGUGGUAUCAUUGCACCAUUUUCAUUGGUUCCCUUGUUCCUUUGUUGUACAUAGUUCAUUAGUUUUCUUUAUUCCUUCAGUUUGCUUGGUUGUUUAGUUAAAUUGUUCUAGCCUAGUAAAUAGAUUGUUAUUUGAAAUAUGUUUAACUUUGUGUUGAAUUGUUUUCCAUUAAUAAAUUCUUAUAUUUUGGAGAGAAGUUAUGUUGAAUUUAAUCCAUAUGUGUGCAGAGUUUGCCGUUCAAUAAUGCCAGGGUUAAAAUCACUAUCCCAAACAGACGAGUAGGCAAACAGCCUCUUGGUUCCGACCAAGAGGAAAAAUCACAUGACUGUAACCCAACAGAAACAUGUUUUUUCAGAGACCAAACUGCAGAGGAACUGAGGACUGCAGUCCAAUCAUCCUGGGCUGGAAUACCUGUUCACAGGUGGCAGAAGUUAGUCGACUCCAUUUAGCACAGAUGUGCAGCAGAGACAAUCUUUUUGCAACUAAAAAUGUGUUCAGGGAUUCACAGGAAAAUUAAAAGCAUUUUAGAGUUCACAGUAAUUAUGGACAUUGCCAUUUUUUUUAAAUAAUUUCUUGAACUUUCGUCAUGUUUUAUCUUUGGAAUAGAAUGUGCUGUUUCCCGUUGGUUGUAUUCAAGCAGUUCUUAUCAUUUUUAUCUUUACUCACCUUAUAAACACACUGCUAUUUUAAACCUAGUUGUACCUCUUUGUGAAGUGUCCGGUCCCUCGGGUGGCAUUGCAAACCUGCAAUUGAUCCACAAACAAAGUUGAUACCAGAUUAUACCUGCUGCAGUCUACAUGGAGCAACACAAAUAAGCACAUUCACAGAAUGUAUUGACCUGUAACUUUAGCUCUCCUACUAUUGCUUGGUUUGGAUCCAGGAGCAUUAGGCAAAUAUGAACCAAAUAAACAGUUUUGUUUUUUUUCCAUUAUCAUACAUUUAUACUCAAUGAAAUAAUACAUUUUAUAUAAAAGCGCCUUUCACUGAAUUAAACGGUACUGUUAAAAACAGCUAACAUUAUGGUGCACAGAGAUAUGUUUUUCUCUUACCCAGAUCUUAUGUGCUGCUCUAAGCUAAAAUCAUGACCUGACAGACGUGUGCUGCAAACCAACGUGGAAACGAAUCUGCCUGCAAGUCUCGUUGUGUGCAGCAGAUGGCGCCAGACUGUCAUCAUAAAACACACACUCAACGCCGCUUUUAUUAUGAUCAGCAGCGGUUUCCCCUGGAUCCCGGUGUUUUGAUCCAACGCUGUGAAAUGAGCAAAACUUAAGUCCGAACAGCGUCAGUGAGCGUUUGGAUCCUGGGUGUUGUGCUUUCCAGCCGGAGGACAGAGAUAGACCUGCAGCGAUGCUGUCCAAUGUUCUGGAACAUGCCAGCCUGCUGCAGCUGCUGUAUUUAUACCACUGACAUUUUACAACCGCUACACUGGGAAUUUUAUCAGGUUUAAAAAACGAACAUUGAUACCAAAUGGUCAAUGGAAUUCAAUGAUUUUAAAACAGAAACAAAUUUAUUAUUUGAAGUAUUGUUACAUUGUAUCAUGCUUUAUAAAGCAGGUGAACUCUGCAAACAGAGCAACAUGUAGCUCUGGAACAACGAAUACUAUUAUUAAAACGUUGUUCCUAAAUAUUGUUUAGACUGUACAGUCUGGUUUGAAAAAAAUGACUAAUUGGUUGCAGUGGGCGGCUCCCAACGUCUCCACUCAUGGCUCCCACAAAGCAGCGCAGAGGAAAUGUAAAGAGGACCACCCAGCAGCUCUGUGGAAGUGUGGUGUUUCUGCAGUUCCUGCAGCUGAGAGGGACUGCGGGGAAUACUGGGAAGCCGUUUAAACAUGAUGAUGAUGCUGCUGCUGUCAGGUAAAAGUGUGAGGCCUUCAGCUGUUUUAAUCUGAUCCAAGAUCAGAACACUUCACACCUACAUCUGCAGCUGAGGAUGAUACUCCAAUAACAGCCAAUCACUAUGAGACACACAGGCAGCAGAUAUAUUAGCCCCUGUUCCCUACAGGCUGCACUUCAUACUGACCCGUCUGCUCCGGGAUCUACCUGCCCACACAGCAUCAGAGACGAGCUGACACAUGCUAUGCAGCAAAACUCUCCUGCUCCUACGUUCCACACGUUCUUAUUUAACACAUGGCAAUUAUAAUGCAGGCUGGGACUUUUUACAUUUGCAGCACUGGGUCAAUUACUGCUGAUGCAUUGUAUUAGCAUUAUGGCUGCCCCAUGCAACAGCAAGACAUUUUUUCAAUUAGAUCUUACUUUAACCAACAUUCAAAUAUUUCAAGCCUUUAAAUGCCCACUGCUUUCUGUAUUGUUUAGAUAAUAUUGUCAACAUGUUAUGUAUUUCUUAACAUCCAAAAUAAUUUAUGACUAACUUUGCUGUCUUAAAAUUGACCAAAAAAAAUUUAAAAUUUGCACCUUGAUUGAGCAAAACUGUAAAUAUUUUUUUUGCAGGAUUUGAAGUUUUAAAUGCACUUCUAGAUGCAUGACUAUGAGUGUGGGGCUAACUCGGCACCUAAACACCCUGGAGCUAGAAAGGAAGAUACUCAGCCACUCGCUCCAACGUAUUUCCCAUAAACACACAACAAACAGAAAAUUCCACAUCCACUUGAAAAACAUGCACAAACACACAAGCAAGAAAAGCAACGUGGGACGAUAAGCCCUAACCUCCCAACACCCUCCCCUUCCUCCCUCAAAGCAGCCCUGCCCUCCACAUUCCUCACAAGGCGCCCCAUCCCCCCCUACGACCUGUCCCAAAUAGGAAACUUACCCCAUUUUCCCACCCACGCGGUGACUUCUUCAAGCGUGCACACUCAAAUUAUGCUUUGAAAAGCCGACUGAAAGAGGGGGAGGG